rnacentral:rRNA from 1 species
AGAGUUUGAUCCUGGCUCAGAUUGAACGCUGGCGGCAGGCCUAACACAUGCAAGUCGAGCGGUAGAGAGAAGCUUGCUUCUCGUUGAGAGCGGCGGACGGGUGAGUAAUACCUAGGAAUCUGCCUGAUAGUGGGGAUAACGUUCGGAAACGGACGCUAAUACCGCAUACGUCCUACGGGAGAAAGCAGGGGACCUUCGGGCCUUGCGCUAUAAGAUGAGCCUAGGUCGGAUUAGCUAGUUGGUGAGGUAAUGGCUCACCAAGGCUACGAUCCGUAACUGGUCUGAGAGGAUGAUCAGUCACACUGGAACUGAGACACGGUCCAGACUCCUACGGGAGGCAGCAGUGGGGAAUAUUGGACAAUGGGCGAAAGCCUGAUCCAGCCAUGCCGCGUGUGUGAAGAAGGUCUUCGGAUUGUAAAGCACUUUAAGUUGGGAGGAAGGGCAUUAACCUAAUACGUUAGUGUCUUGACGUUACCGACAGAAUAAGCACCGGCUAACUCCGUG